GGCGUUUUGAAUCUUCUCGUAUAGCGUCUGGCUUCCCUCACAAUCAAUCAGCUGAUGCGUGUGACGCGAGCGGCUUGGACGCGUUUUUUCUUAGCGCCCACGCGGUCGCCACUUGGUUUCAUAAAUACGUGCUAACAUUUCCAGUAUUUGUCUUUAUUAUGACGACUUUUUUGACAUAUUGCGGUCUUAGAACGAGAUGCUAACCGGACUGAAUCAUGAAUCAUGGCACCCAUCAGAGCGCGCGUGGACACCUGGACACGCGAGAACAUGCCCGGCCUCGUCUGAUUCUCAGGGCCGGGGAAAGACGGGACCAGCACUAUGGACAGCAUAUUCCCUGACCAGCUUUUCCCACAUUGUUACAUGGACAGACCGCCUGAAGUAAAGCCGAAGCGUGGUCGCUGUCAAUGCUGGAUUGUUAUAUCUCCUCAGACUUCCACAGGGUGGUGCAAGAGCUCAGUGAUGACGAGCCUCCUAGUCUUGUCAUGGACUCUCAAGCUUUUGUCUGAUUUGAAUGGAGCUGUCAGAUCAGUUCGGCCAGUUUGGAGGAUGUAGAUUGCAGAAGUUCCGUGAGGAGGAUUCCAACCUGUACUUCAGUGCUAAGUCGCCAUGGCGAUGGUGUGAGUUCUCCUGUCACCCGAGAGUGAUGGUGUAUGCUGAAAGAACGGGGGCGGAGCUUACAGACAUGCGGGUAAAGCGACGCAUCUUAUUAUUGGACAAAACUUCAUUAUGGAUUUACUAUAUAGAACUGAGUCCUCCAUUAACAUCUAGCACCUUAUCAGAGUGCACUGUAAGCAUUUUGUUUACGUCGAUAGCCAAACCAGCAACUCCUAUCAGUGUCGAAACAGCAUCAUGCAAGGGUUUUUGUCCACUGUAGUGUUUAUCACUCAUGAAUGAUUAAUUCCACAAUCAAAAGUGGAUGUUACUGAGAUAAAAUAAAUAUAAUGCAGCUGAAGACA
ensembl:lncRNA